rnacentral:tRNA from 1 species
UCUUAGCUCACUGGUAGAGUGCGUGGCUUUUAACCACGUGGUUGUGGAUUCGAUCUCAAUAGA